rnacentral:rRNA from 2 species
CACCGCGGUUAUACGAGAGGCCCAAGUUGACAGACACCGGCGUAAAGCGUGGUUAAGAAUAAAUUGAAACUAAAGCCGAACACCUCCAGAGCAGUUAUACGUAUCCGGAGACACGAAGCCCCAUCACGAAAGUGGCUUUAAUAACCCCUGACCCCACGAAAGCUAUGGCA